UACAUGGGGUGCAAACGUUGCUCGGAAUCAUUGGGCGUAAAGCGCGCGUAGGCGGUUAUUUAAGUUGGAUGUGAAAGCCCUCGGCUUAACUGAGGAAGUGCAUCCAAAACUGAAUAGCUAGAGUACGAAAGAGGGUCGCGGAAUUCCCGGUGUAGAGGUGAAAUUCGUAGAUAUCGGGAGGAACACCGGUGGCGAAGGCGGCGACCUGGGUCGAGACUGACGCUGAGACGCGAAAGCGUGGGGAGCAAACAGG
rnacentral:rRNA from 1 species